CACGGUGAUUGAGCUCAUUGUAUUUUCGAAUAAUUACGUAACCGUCCAAUAGGGAUAGCUGAGAUGAAACGUGCAGUCAUGAUAAAUAAUAUUUCAUGAAGUUGAGACAAAGGAUUUGUGCACGGUGAGGUACAGUUCAACAUCAAACAAAGCUCUUCUAUUCGCUCACGGUGAUUGAGCUCAUUGUAUUUUCGAAUAAUUACGUAACCGUCCAAUAGGGAUAGCUGAGAUGAAACGUGCAGUCAUGAUAAAUAAUAUUUCAUGAAGUUGAGACAAAGGAUUUGUGCACGGUGAGGUACAGUUCAACAUCAAACAAAGCUCUUCUAUUCGCUCACGGUGAUUGAGCUCAUUGUAUUUUCGAAUAAUUACGUAACCGUCCAAUAGGGAUAGCUGAGAUGAAACGUGCAGUCAUGAUAAAUAAUAUUUCAUGAAGUUGAGACAAAGGAUUUGUGCACGGUGAGGUACAGUUCAACAUCAAACAAAGCUCUUCUAUUCGCUCACGGUGAUUGAGCUCAUUGUAUUUUCGAAUAAUUACGUAACCGUCCAAUAGGGAUAGCUGAGAUGAAACGUGCAGUCAUGAUAAAUAAUAUUUCAUGAAGUUGAGACAAAGGAUUUGUGCACGGUGAGGUACAGUUCAACAUCAAACAAAGCUCUUCUAUUCGCUCACGGUGAUUGAGCUCAUUGUAUUUUCGAAUAAUUACGUAACCGUCCAAUAGGGAUAGCUGAGAUGAAACGUGCAGUCAUGAUAAAUAAUAUUUAAUGAUGUUGAGACAAAGGAUUUGUGCACGGUGAGGUACAGUUCAACAUCAAACAAAGGUCUUCUACUUUGUGGCUUUGACGUUUGCCGGGCUUCCAGACCAUCGUAUCUUCACAGAUUGUGAGUAAAUUGACUGCUUUGACUAUAUUGAGAUAACUUUAGAUUUAGUAGAUCACGUGAAAUCACGUGCAAUAGUUUAUUAAUAGCAUUUUUCGCGCACUAAAGUUAUGUUUACCACAUACUUAAUUAAGUUUUACCACAUUAUACUUGAUCGUCCAUUGAAUGAAAUGUAAUUUUCGUUGGAUGCAGUAAAUUAAAGAAGCACUACUUUUUAUCUCAGGCGCCUGAAGUGAAUGGUUCUUAUAUAUAUAUUUAUAAUAUAGCAUUUGUAAAUUCUGAACGCUGAUUGGCUAAGAGCCGUGUUGAUAUAAUUCAAUGUCAGCACGGAAACGUCGGAAAAUUUCUUUCUUUAUGUUUCUUUGUGCUAUAUUAUAAAACAAAUAUAAAACAUUUUUUCCGUAUUGAUAUAUAGUUAUAUCAACACUCGUGGAAAUUGGGAAAACUCGAAAUUGUGUGAAAACACUCCGCCCUUCGGGCGUCGUGUUUCCACACAGUUUCUCGUUUUCCCAAUU